rnacentral:rRNA from 1 species
UCCCCUCCCCAGUGAGAAUGCCCUUAAUAUCAAUCUAGAUCAAGAGGAGCAGGUAUUAAGCACACUAACUAGUAGCUCAAGAUGCCUUGCUUAACCACACCCCCAAGGGAUACAGCAGUGAUAAAAAUUUAGCAAUGAACGUAAGUUUGACUAAGCUAUGCUACUCCAGGGUUGGUAAAUUUCGUGCCAGCCACCGCGGUCAUACGAUUAACCCAAACUAAUAAACACCCGGCGUAAAGCGUGAUUUAAAAUCAAAUAACAACUAAGCUGUAAAAAGUAAUAGUUAUAAACAAAAAUAAACAACGAAAGUGAUUUUAUAACCUUCGAACUCACGAUAGCUAAGAUCCAAACUGGGAUUAGAUACCCCACUAUGCUUAGCCCUAAACCUAGAUAAUUCCAGAACAAAAUUAUUCGCCAGAGAACUACAAGCCAGAGCUUAAAACUCAAAGGACUUGGCGGUGCUUUAUACCCGCCUAGAGGAGCCUGUUCUAUAAUCGAUAAACCCCGAUAAACCUUACCACUCUUUGCCAAUUCAGCCUAUAUACCGCCAUCUUCAGCGAACUCUAAAAAGGAGCAAAAGUAAGCUCAAUCAUCACCAUAAAAACGUUAGGUCAAGGUGUAGCCUAUAGAGUGGAAAGCAAUGGGCUACAUUUUCUACUUUAGAACACACGAAAGCCCCUAUGAAACUCUAGAGGCCAAAGGAGGAUUU